rnacentral:tRNA from 1 species
GGUUUUGUAGUUUAUAAAAUAUUAAAUUGCAAGUUUAAAGAUAAAACUAUAAGUUUUUAAAACCU